AGGCUCCAAAGUUUAGAGAAUCAGGACCCUUUUGGAUAAGACCAAGAUUCCACCCAGCCCAUCAUUCUUUUUCCAGUAGUGGCUGUUAUGUGCUUCCAAAACGUGCACAAGCAUGAAGGCAACCUCUUUCCCCAUGAUGUUUUCCCAACAUCUGGCAUUCAGAGGUAUGCUGCUUCAGUUAAUGUCAAUGUUCCAUUAAUUAAUAAUGGCUAAUAAAAGUAAAUGGAUACCUUUUAUGAUGUCAUAUUUUCAACCAUUUAAGCUAGGGGUUAUUAUAAUCUUCUAAAUGCAUCCAAGUUAGUGGCCAUCACCAUUUCUUAUGGCAGAAAUUGCAUACAUAGAGUGAAAAAGUUAUUUAUAGCAAAAGCCUUUGCCUGUGAUUGGAGUAUCUCACAAUAAAGCAGUUGUCCAACCAUUUCCCCUCUCUUUACUUCUUCAGCUUCCUUUGCCCACCCCAAGUUCCAAUUUCCCUGAGCGCGAGUCAUCUCAACUCAUCAUUUUGUAAACCGCACCCAGUGUAGUUCAUCCAUUUCAUCCUAGGCACCUUUCCUCUCUUUUUCUGUUACUUCUUGCACCGUUCUCAAGCACUUCUUUACAUAUGUAUAACCUUCACUCCUAGUUCCUUUCAACCCUUCCUUGCCAGAUCCAUCAUCCUGUUCUGCAAAUCCUUCUCCAUUCACUUUUGUUGUAAUACUUACCAAUGGCUUACCAAGGCUCACAGAUGGGCAUAACAUCUACCUUGUCUUUCCACCCGUUUUUCCUUUAGCUAAUCCUUCAUCCCUCACAGAAAAUCAAACUCCUAAACAUUUUUCAGCAAAGCUGAAUUUCUUAUAUUUUGGUAUCUCGUUAAUGAGCUUAGUUUAUUGUGCAGUUUAUUUCUUGUUUGCAAGACAUACUCUAUUCUACACAUCUUACCUCAGGAUUGCAAUUCCUAGCAUUCAAAGCACAAUAUUUUGUCCUCAGAAUAUGCACUUCUUACCCUAGGUAGCGCAUUCAUUAUUGUUGUGGAGGAAUGUGGUGGUGUGAGUGCCAGAUAGCUACUGAACAGCUUUGUGAGAUAAUUUAGUAAUAAGCAACACAGUUCUGUUCUCACUCCCUAAUGCAGGAAUGAAGAACAUGUUUUACUCCAGAUGUUGUUGGACUGCAACAACUCUGAUCCUCCCUGACUGUUGACCAUGCUGGAGCUAAUGAGAGUCCAUCAACACCUGAAGGACAGAGGUUCUCCAUCCCUGCCCAGCACAAGUUUGUGAGCUGCUGGUUUAGGGUUUUUGUGAUGGUGGCUUUUUAAAUUCUGUGGUGGCUGUCCGUUUCCUUUUCUUCUCCACUGGAAUGCACAUCUAGCCAGAUUUUUUUUUUUUUAAAUCAAGGUGGAAUUGGUAAUAUAGGUAUCUCCACAUCAAGCCUUUUUUCAGUCCAUCACUCCUUAAUGCAUGGCAAAUAGCACCAUACAUUACUGAAGAUACAUACAUAUAUGUGUAUGUGCAUCAAACAAAGGAUAAAGUGCAGGGGGUUACGAUACAUUUGUGCAUUAAACCCCAUAUUUCUUAGGCCAUAGUAAGCAAGACAAACGUGUUUGCUUUAUGUACCUCAAUGUUUUGUGCAGCAAGCUUGUGAAGUGUGGACUUAAAGAUACACUUUCAAAUAGAUCUUGUCAUCCCACACUUUGUUUCAUGCAAGAAACACAGGCGUGGAGCUUCCCAAGGGUCUGUAAUACAGAAAAGCUAACUCAUGUUGUAAAUUAUGCAUAUUAGUGCAUAAACAUAUGAUUUAGUAAGUAAUGACCCCUUUUUCCGUUGCUGUAUAUGUUUUCCUAGUAUUAUAAUUCACAAUAGAAGUUUGCCUCAUGCUGUAGGCAGUUAAAAUGUAUUUUCAGCUGUAGCCAUGAAUUCAUCAGCCUAUUGGGGUUUCAUCUUGUACAGUGUGAAGUUUACAAGAGAGUAGAGCAUUUAACGAUGUGCAAAACAGCAUCCAUUCAAGCAGGCAGCAGUAUGAAUAUUGCUGUUUGGCAUAAAGAAAAUUACACAUGUUCAAAAAUGAAACUGUCCAUUGAAUAUACACAGAAAGUCAACAUUGUCAAUACGAAAGCUGGUUCACACUGAAACAGACACCAACAAGCUAAUAAUCCAAGAUGAUGCCAUUGAUUUAGAAGUGCAGUUGUUGAGCUGAUAUGUGCUAGUAGAAGGAUCUUUCUGUGGAAAAUCCCUGCAUUAUAAGAUUUGUAACCAAUAAAGCUUCUGACUGCUCUUGACUUUAGACAGAACUUUGAAUCUACAGGGGUGAUCCACAUACAGAAAUGCAAUUCCAUGUAUAAAUAGUCUCUGUCAUGGGUUCAAUAGAGUGCUGCAAGAAUACAAAAUCCUUCCAUCCAGAAGCUAUUCAGAGGAACUGUAACCCAGAGAUCUGCUUAAUACUAGUUUAAUGCUAGUUUAACAGGGGGGAAGUGGAUCUACAGAUGGGAUGGAAAGAUUUAAAAAUGCAAUGCAGAAACCCAUACAUUACCAUGACUAUCAUUGUAUUUUAAAACAUUCAAAACAGAUAAUGGUCCCUCCCUCCUAACAAAAGAUGCUCGUAAAAAUGUAAUGACCCAUUUUAAAUUGUGUUUUAAUUUAUUUAGUAAAAGAUUAGGAAUCAAAACCAGAGUAUUGGCUUUAAAUAAUGGUAAAACCCACAAGGAAUAAAGUCUUCUCUGCAGACUAUGAUUCAGUAAUAUCUUUUAUUUCAGAAAAUAUGAGAUCUUUACCAAAACAUAUUUCUUAAAAGGGAUAAUUAGGUACAUUUUAGUUAACUAAUUUUUAUUUCUUGUGAUUAUUCCCUUGAAAAUAAUUUAUUGUGGCAUCUGUUUUUUUAUAGUGCCUACUGUUAAAAGACAAAAUCUUUUGUUACACAGAUCGUUGUUUUCUGCCUUGAAAGUGUUUCUUUUAAAGGAAAAGGGACAUCUGGGGUUAGGUCUGUUUCAGCUGUCUAAUGCAUCAGUAAACGUCAAUUUGCUAACAUUUGCACAAGUUAUUCUAUGUAGACAAUUUACUUUUUGUUUAAGACUGGCAUUAUAAACAUCCAUAACUAUGGAUAUGCUGUAAAUUAUUGUAGGUUUUGUGUAAGAAAACCUUUCACCACAUUACUACUGUCAAUUCUUGGUUUUUGAUUGUAUAGCCAUAUGUCUUAUAUACCUGUUCUGUCAUCAAAACCUCCCUUUCCUAUAUUGUUAAACAUUUAUUAAGCAUGCUUAGUAGUUUCUCAUUUUAUUUCAUAUAGCCCAUGCAGCAAUCACUGACAACAUAAAAUUCUAAUGUAAUAGUACAACCAGUCCACUUCAUGUAAGUUAUAGGAGUAGCUUGCAGACUCUAGUGCAAUUCAACUGCAUUGUAGCUUAUUUCAGUGCAAUCUUCUGCCUGCUUACUCAGAAGUAAGUUUCACAGAGUUCAGUGAGACAUACUGUACUCCCAAGUAAAUGUGUACAGGAUUGCAGCCUACAAUAUGUUUGUUUGGGGCAUGUAUGAAUCUAGUGGAAAACUAGCUAUUGAAGUUAAGGUAUAGAGACUGGUAGACCUAGAAUUUAGACUGUCAGGUGAAAAAAUCCACACAAACAGCUUUCAGGGAGACAAUCCAUUUAGAAUUUUAAUAGCAGUAUCAAAAAAAGAAGUCCCAUAUUUUUCAAAGCCCCUUCCAGAUCAUCUAGAAAACCUAGCAAGUUUAUUCUUGCGGCUUCUGUGUAGCCCUGUAUACAGGAUCUAAAUGUGCUUAAAUAAAACAUCAAAAAGCAAUACUGAAAUAGAAUGCAGUAUAGCAAACCUUGUCAAAAUGCUAUAAAAUGACAAUUAAAUUAAAUUCAGGUAGGUAGCCAUGUUGGUCUGACGCAGUCAAAAUAUAUAAAAAAAUUAAAAAAUUGUCCAGUAGCACCUUAGAGACCAACUAAGUUUGUUCUUGGCACAUGAAAGCUUAAGGUGCUGCUGGACAAUUUUUUUAUUUUUAAAAUUAAAUUAAAAUGUAACAUGCUUCAGGCAUAAUUGACCUAAUCCAACAGUAUUUAAUCCUAAAUACUGACACAUAGUAAAUAUGAGCACUCUCUUCCACCUUGGUGUUUCUCAUAAUACAAAACUUCCCAAAAUUAGUCUCCUAGAUAUCUGUGUUUGGAAGGCCGUUCUAAAAUACGGGUUCAGCAUCAACAUCAUACUUUCUCCCCAACCCAGCUUCUUAAUGAGAGUAUCUAAGAGUAACCUCUUAAGUAAUUAAGGAAGCAGGGCAAUCUGUUGUUAUCAGAAAUUCUGCAGCUAUGCGUAUGCCUAUCAAGGUGCUGUUCUUUACUUGCUGUGCAAAUCAGUUUUUAAUUAUCAAGUAAUAUUUCAAGGACUUAAAAUAGUAGAUACAUUAGAAAGCACACACACUCAUCAACAGCAGCAUCCUUUGGUUUAAAACUGAGAGACCUGGAUCACUGUUUGAUAGACCUCUAGAAUCAAUGAGGGUCUAAUUUUGUGCACCAGAUAGCCAAGCACAAAUGGAUUCCACUGACUUGAUAAAUAAUCAAAGUCAGCCAGAGUCCCUUUGUAGUAAGCUAUCAUGUAUGUUGGUUGAGUGUUGUGUUGUACGGAUACCAAAACAUAAUUUUAUCCAGAUUAUUUGACGAUACACUCCUAAACCCAUUUGUAUACCAGUGGGGUUUCAUUAAAUUAAGACUAUGUUGGGUUGAAAUUCUACUGUACUGUACAUUUGAAUAAUUUAUAUAGUAAACAUUCACUGCAUUAACAUAGCAAAUAUUAUACUAUUUACUAAUCUUUGUGAAUCUUAACUGCGUAAAAACAUUUUAACAAAAAAGCUUAGACAAUGCAUUACUUACAAUACGUAGAAUUUAUAUCCUGAUUCUAAAGAACCUUUAUUUAACUGUCUUAUGACUUAAGUAGAAUGUGCUUCCAAAUACAGAUGUUUUUGACAAUGCUGACUCUUAUAUUAGUGCUUACUAUGGUUUAGUAAAUUGAAAAUAUUCUGUUUACAUAUUCAUCUCCAUUAAGCAAUUUAUGUCUGUCUGAGAUUUAUUUCCCCCCUAGAUAUUAUGAUAUUAUGGGGCACAAAUUUGAACACCCUAAAGCCGCUAAAGUGAGCUUGAUGGAUAGCCAUUCUAAAAUACCAUUGAUACCCUCACUUCAGUUUAACCUCAUGUUUCACAUAUAAAGUAGCUAUAGGAAGAUGAUAGAUGUGCACUGAUCUUGCCACCUUCAUUCUACCAUAUGAACUGCACCACUGUUGACCAUAUUUCUUACUGUUAACCUACCUGGCGACUUACUUAGACACGGGGGCCUGGUACUUAGGGAUCACUGCUACUACUUCACAUAUUCACAUGUUAAAGUGAAAACUUUGAACCAUGGAGGAGGAGUUUCACUUACUCCAGGCCAUCUGUUUCUCCACAGCAUGGAAAUCACCAUGCCCGCUGCAAAUGCUAGGCUGAUAAUGUUAGUUGGGGCCAAGGAGUAGCAAAGGUUCUAAACUUGCCCCAUGCUUCUGAUAUAUGCCUUGUACUUCGGCACCAGCUAUCUCAAAUCUUGAAUUUCUUUUACUCAUAGAUAGUUCCUUUUUGGGAGAGUAGCAAGUUGCAAUUUGGAGAAUUUACCAUAGUAAUACCGGAAUACAUUUUAGCAACACCAAAGCCCUAUUAUGACCUUUUAACUCAAGAAUAACAACUCUUUCAGAAAACACACACGAGAUUUCAUUAAGUGCUUUACUAUCCAACGAGAGAGAGUAGUAAUAGUUUGCUCAGCGGUGCAAAUGUUGUGAAUAAGUUAUCUAGCAUCUAUUUGUUUUUAUGAUACUUUUCAGUGCACCUAUACAUUUUUUAUAAUUGGUUUAGGGGAGUUUGGGACAGCUAAUGUAACUGUACCCAACAUUAUUUACAAUUUACACUGUUUACCUUUCAUUGUCUUCCCUUCCUGUGUCUCUUAGUGUAUGUUGAUAACCAAAACAAUGGAUUUUUAGUAGUAGUUCCCUGCUUUCUUUUCUUCAAAAAACUUUAUUGACUAUGGGUACAGCUGACAUCUCAUUCUAUAUCCCAUCAUGGGUAGCCGAUUCCCUUUUUAAAGUGCCAUAAGAUUAUAAAGUACACACACACACACAAAAACACAGGCCUAAUUUUCCUAGUAAUUUUUGUCCAAGUGACCUCAUGUACAGAAUAGGAAACAUUAUUCAGAAUGCAAUGUAUUCAUAUACACAUUCUGGUUCAUGCAUUAGUGUCAACUGUUAGAAAGCUUCCUUCCUUAUCACGCUUUAUCAGCACAUUGUAUGUAUUUUCCACUAUGAAAGACAGGUAGUGUUUCACUGACUUUAAUGGAAAACACUGUGUAUGCUUGGCACUUCGACAGAAUUCCAAGAUGGAAAUAUCAUACUGUGUAGAUGCAUCUUAUCAAAGUUUCAUCUGAUAUUUUAUGAAACCUGAAUCCCAGUGGAAUCUACACACUUGGAUUUUGGUAAACCAAACAGCAGCUAGCCUGAAAAGUAACAGGUGGAGAAAACUAUAACAAAUACUUUUUUAAAUGAGAUUGGUUGGGGUAUUUCGGCCAUUUAACAAUUUUAGCAUAUUCAAUAUUUUAUUGCAGUUCGUUGAACGUGAACUUUCUACAAAGUGACCUGCACUUUGUGCAAAGCAACCAAACGAGUGAAUAGCCUACUUUGCACCUGCCCACCUAAUUGUCUGAAAUGUCAUUCAAGCCAUAAAUUCCUUUGAGAUAUUUUGUGUUUGUGCAAUCAAGGCAGUUGGGUUUGACGCCUUAGGUGUAAAGAUGGCUCUCCAUAUACAGUUUGUGUGUAUGAGUGCUUGGGUGCACAUAUACGCAGAUAACAGUAAGUCUGGUGUCUUUUUUGAAGCGAGGUAUCUCUUUGAAUUCCACCUACUGUGCUCUAGAAACUAGACACUUUUUAAAUAAAAAAAAACACAAACAUUUUCUUUGAAAAUAAGUGAUACAAAUACCUUGCUUAGUAGAUUUGAUAUCAAAACUGAAGACCAAGAACUGAACAGGCAGGACUGUUUUGGCAUCAAAUCUUUUUAAACUGUUCAAAAAUUUUAUUUAGUGGAAGUAUAAUUUAGAAUUAAGUGGAAUGUCAGAACAAACUGGGGAGUUUUAGAAAUAAAUCACUCAGCAAUCAUUUUAUAAAGUUUAACUUCUAAAUGCACUAUGAUUUAUUACAAAAAUAUAUUUUCUUCUGCUUGCAGAUAUGGUUGUUCCAUUUUGUGAUAGUUUUAAACUAAAGCAGUUAAUUUUGUUGCACUGUGUAACUGCAUGAAUUCAUCAAGUGUACAUAUGUACCUGUGCAACAUUUUUUGGGGUUUUGUAUUUGAAUUUCAGUAUUGGUUAUUUUUGUAUUUUACUUUACCUGUAUUGGAGUUGUAGUAGACAUAAUUUAUACAUAUGAUUUAAAAACUGUUUUGCAACUGAAAAGUCUUCUUUAAAUUGUAAAAUUUUGUUGAUGGAAACUCAUUAAAAUGGUAUAAAAUUAUAUUAACAAUUGUUUUGUGUUUUGAUGCUCUCUGUACAUAAAUAUGUAUUUAUCUGUUUUAAUGGUGUUGUGUCUUGCAAUUUUGGAUACAUUUUAGAAUAAAGUUUCAUUUUAC